rnacentral:rRNA from 1 species
AGCAGUCGCCGCGGUAAUACCGAGGGUGCGAGCGUUAAUCGGAUUUACUGGGCGUAAAGCGUGCGUAGGCGGCUUCUUAAGUCGGAUGUGAAAUCCCUGAGCUUAACUUAGGAAUUGCAUUCGAUACUGGGAAGCUAGAGUAUGGGAGAGGAUGGUAGAAUUCCAGGUGUAGCGGUGAAAUGCGUAGAGAUCUGGAGGAAUACCGAUGGCGAAGGCAGCCAUCUGGCCUAAUACUGACGCUGAGGUACGAAAGCAUGGGGAGCAAACAGGAUUAGAUACCCCCGUAGUCCCUGUCUCUUAUAC